UACGUAGGGUGCGAGCGUUAAUCGGAAUUACUGGGCGUAAAGCGUGCGCAGGCGGCUUUGCAAGACAGAUGUGAAAUCCCCGGGCUCAACCUGGGAACUGCAUUUGUGACUGCAAGGCUAGAGUACGGCAGAGGGGGAUGGAAUUCCGCGUGUAGCAGUGAAAUGCGUAGAUAUGCGGAGGAACACCGAUGGCGAAGGCAAUCCCCUGGGCCUGUACCGACGCUCAUGCACGAAAGCGUGGGGAGCAAACAGG
rnacentral:rRNA from 1 species